UAUACUGUCCAAGGAGGAGACGGUUGUCGGGUCUUGGUUAUUGUGAUUUCGGAGAAGGUUGUUUCGGUGGUGCGAUAAGGAGGUCCUUUGACGGCGAUGUUGGAACAAAAGGUCGACCGUUCGUUUUGAUGUAGGAGAAGGUUGAUACUCUUCGAUAGGAAAGUAUGGUUGUCGGUGUCGCUUGACGAAUGUAAUCAAAACCCGUUACGGUCUGGAACAGCAAGAAAAGCCAAGUAUCAUUCAGAGAGAAAUAUAUAUGGAACUAUUCGUUUCCUGGGACGAGCUUGUUAUACAAUGCGUAAAAAAAAACGAAGCACGACAUAAUUUAUUACGUAAGCGACAUUGUGUGCCGAGCAGAACACGAAAUCGGUAUGAAAUCAGUAAAAUUAUAGACGAGUAACGAUUCAACGGGCAUCGUAGAACGGUUACGGAUUUAUCGACUCGGCCGCAGAAAAAGAAGGAUGCGAACGUAACAGAGAUUCUUUUCUCGGACUAUCGAGAGAGAAAUAAGACAGACGUAAGUUCUCUGCACUUCUUUUAUUUUUCUCCGAUUUUGAAGUAGAUGAGUCGAAAAGAAAGGGAAAAAAAAAUAUAUAUAUAUCGAUUACCGCCGCUAAUUCGAAAUACCAGUUUUACAGCAAACGUCGCGAACUGAUAUCGGAUGAUAAACUGGAGCACUUGUUAUUACAGGCUACGAUUAUACAUAAUAGUUUAAUUAACUUCUAUGGAGUUAACUGUAAUGAUAUGGUCUUACUAUAACAAUAAUUAAAUUAUACUACCUAAUUCGUCAUCCAAUUAGACAGAAUUAUUUAACGUGUUAAUUAAUGAAGUAAUUAAUAAUUAAUCGUCCUAUCGCCCGACUAUCGGAAAUUCGUUAACCUAAACGAAACCAACUUUUCUUCGGGACACGUAAAUAUCUCUUUCGAUACAAAAAUACUAUCGAACGACAAUAAAUAACUAAAGAUCCACGCGUCGACCAUAUCGAAUGGCCGAUUUUGCGAACGAUAAGACGUUAAUAAAUACUCGUUAUAAAUAUUGUAUACACGCGAAAACGACGAAUGCCGAUGAGAAAUUACCGAUAUAAACUUCCUUUCUUCCGAGGUAAACCACUGUUGGAAUUUGGACGUAUUUCGUUUCUACGAUUCAGCCUAAUUUCGUUCGAAAAUAUUCUACACACCAUCGAGACCUACUCAAUGUACUUGUAACAAUGUAACUUCGUCAAAAAUAUUCUAGCCACGAACGCGUACCUACUCCGGCAUCUCGAGACACUUAGCGUUAAAUUAAUUAUGUAAUUACUUCAUCGAUUAAUGGAAUAAUACAAUACAUCGCAAAAAGUCAUGACAAUUUCACGGCUGCUUCUUUCCGCCAAUCAACGCGACCUUCGGCUAGAACAUAUCCGCAGUAUUUUAAUACUUGUUCGACGCUUGGUGUGCGCUGAUUUUGCCGACUGCAAACUCAGGAACACUAAGAGACUAAUACCGAUGCCGCUUUCUGUGGAUAAACGUUUCAUUCUUUUUCUUUCGUAGUGAUUCUCGGCGAAAACGCAAACGCUAACAAAGGGACGAACACUUCAACACUUAAACCUAGGUGGAGCUCGAAGCAUCGUAAAUACGAUUUUAUUCCAAACCUCAAGCAACCGAAGGUCUACCUUUAUUCGUUCGAAUUCAAGGAUAGCUCACAGGUCAUCUUGCACAAUUCCCAAAUUAUUCACGGAACAAGAAUCGGGGGUCGUUAUCGUCCGUUAAACCGAUGCAAAAAUAACAAGAACUUUCGAUCGUUGUACGCUUUCGGGAAUAAUCUUUUUUUUCUCUUCGUUUCGUUCGCCAUCGUCUUUGAAUAUUAUACACGUCGGGUGAUUCGUGUCGAGCAAGCCAACAUUUUUAUUAUUUUUACACCUCUCCGUUAACGUACCCUUCGUUCUUGCCAUUCGACCUUGGCUGUCUCGAAAAUCUCACGCACGACUCAUUCCGAAUAAAGUUUAAAAACAUUAACGAUAGUUAUACAUCUAUCUCUAUACUUAUUAUCUGCCGAGGCUUCUCUCGUUGUUGGGCGAGCGAAUCGUUUGAAACGAGCGACGUUCAGUUGCGAAGCCAUCGGAAAGGGUGACGCAGAAAACAAGGGGGCGAAACGACGUAAUAAAUGCGGAAGAAGUUUCGUUUCGAAGGAUUCGCUGUCUCGACCCGUAAACCACGACGAGCAGGCCAAGAUACUUUAAAAGUUUAUCGGCGUUCCCGCCGAUAUUAAAGACGCUAAAAUUAUUCAUAUAUUCAUUUCGUUUCCUAUUAUUAAUAUCUCUCUCAACAAUGUCACUGAGUAUUAUUUAUUACUUUUUUUUUUUGUUUCUUCUUCAUUAUGGCAUUCUACCUGGUGUUUUUUCGAUCAACCUAUUUCGUUUUUAAGUCUUAUAUUCGUAUCAUCUUAACGCUCUCCUCCUCCAUCCGAUACUUUUCCUCUUCGAUUAACCUCGUUAUCAGUUAUUAAUUUACGAACGUUAUUCGUACGAUACGACCAAGAUGAAG